rnacentral:tRNA from 1 species
GCGGGCUUAGUCUAGCCUGGACUAGGACACUGGCCUGCCACGCCAGUGACCCGGGUUCAAAUCCCGGAGCCCGCACCA